UACAGAGGUGCGAGCGUUAAUCGGAAUUACUGGGCGUAAAGCGCGACGUAGGCGGCUUUGCAAGUCGGGUGUGAAAUCCCCAGGCUUAACCUGGGAACUGCAUUCGAGACUGCAUUGCUAGAGUAUGGGAGAGGGAAGUGGAAUUUCCGGUGUAGCGGUGGAAUGCGUAGAUAUCGGAAGGAACAUCAGUGGCGAAAGCGACUUCCUGGACCAAUACUGACGCUCAUGUGCGAAAGCGUGGGGAGCAAACAGG
rnacentral:rRNA from 1 species